rnacentral:lncRNA from 1 species
GAGAAUUCAGUAUAAGCUCUUGGUUACAUUCAGCAAGUUCAUCAUGCUGGAGAAGUCGAAGGGGCUGGCCGGAGCAGCCGCCCUGCGCGCGGGCUGCCGCCUCUGCUCCUCCGCCGCAAGUUACAGUCAUACACAUUAAACUGAUAUUAAGUUAUAUUACCUCUUAUUGAGUGUAACUGUGAACUACUGAACCCCAUUUAGACCAGUAAUGCAUUUUAUUUCUAUCGUCUACCUACCACAGUUGGAUAUUAACCAAUCAUAACAAUAUCUAUAUGACAUGGCUAAACAAAUUGACGAUCCCAAAAAAUGCUCGACAGACUCUGAGCGUACUCAUUGACAGGGAGCAAAGUAUUACAUCAUAUACUUGUAUAUCCUGGAGACAUUAGCACAGCGCCACCCAAAGUCUUGUAUAACAGUCUCAAGUUCAGAAUUGCUCAUAUACCCACGAAUCAUUUCUUCCCUAAAUUUGUUGGAAAAACCAUUGCGGGGCAUGUUUCAACAAAUAUUCCCUCGCAAGAAGAACAUGAAUAGAAAGUGAAAGCUCUGAUUACAAAGCAUAUGUGAUCUCAGGCUUAUCCUGAAGAAGAGUACGCGAAAACGACCCAUGUUUUUCAUCGAUGAUACCUGGUUAACAAUAGCAGAUUAUUACUUGGGUGAACACCAUAUGCUAGAAAUUGCAUGUGAAGUUUAUGAAGAAUGAAAAGACGACCAAAUAGAUGCUGAUUUUUUUCCUAUUCUUAUUUUUUCAAGGAGCUGAAUUAAUCUAUGGCAGGAAAGUGGCAGAUCGAUAUGCGGCCGUGACUGAUAAAGCGAGUUUGGGGAAACAGAGAAGAUAUUCAUUUGGUAACAUUAAUUGCGGGAGCUGAAUUAACAUGUGGCCAGCAAGUGGCAAAUGGAUGCAUAGUCUUGACUGAUAGAGCAAGUUUGGUGACAGACAGAGAGAAGAUAUGUGCCAUUUCAGGAAUCUAGGUUUACGAAUUAGUGUAGGAGUCACUCCAAAUCAUGCAUCCGGAGAGCUCUUGCUCUUCAUCACUGCCACUGCCAGUGCACUGACAGUCUGUCUUAACACCAGUCCCAGUCCGUGAAUAACAGCGGCAUAAUCCACGAAUUCAAGCCAACUAACGGAUCCGCGUCCUAUCGAGCUAGCCACAUGUACGAUAUCGGUCGCCGGUCCAGCAAGCGCGGCGUGCGUCGCUGCGCGCAAGGCCCUGGGAAACGGAAUCCAGAGGACGGACACGGAGGGUGUGAGAGCGGAGAGAACCUGAGGGAGACGGGUCGAGGCCACCUCUCGCGGCGGCCAGGAUGGGGAGCGAGGCGAAGGCGCGGAGGCGGAGGAGGAGGAGCGGGGGCGGAGCAGGGCGAGGCCGCCGUUG